AAAGUAUCGAGUUGACAGUUCCUGAACCAAAUAAUACUGAUUUAGAAGACACGAAUGAACAGGUGACAAAAACUAUUGGAGUAACCCCAUGCUGCUCUAAUGAUGUCAAAAAAAAGGAGGAGGGUUAGUAAAGUGGAAUCCAUUGGUUCCAAAUUAAAAA
rnacentral:lncRNA from 1 species